rnacentral:rRNA from 1 species
GCGCAGGAAAAGAAACCAACAGGGAUUGCCCUAGUAACGGCGAGUGAAGCGGCAACAGCUCAAAUUUGAAAUCUGGCCCUUUCAGGGUCCGAGUUGUAAUUUGUAGAGGGUGCUUUGGCGUUGGCUGUGGUCUAAGUUCCUUGGAACAGGACGUCGCAGAGGGUGAGAAUCCCGUAUGUGGCCGCCAGUCUUCGCCGUGUAAAGCCCCUUCGACGAGUCGAGUUGUUUGGGAAUGCAGCUCUAAAUGGGAGGUAAAUUUCUUCUAAAGCUAAAUAUUGGCCAGAGACCGAUAGCGCACAAGUAGAGUGAUCGGAAGAUGAAAAGCACUUUGGAAAGAGAGUCAAAAAGCACGUGAAAUUGUUGAAAGGGAAGCGCUUGCAGCCAGACUUGCCUGUAGUUGCUCAUCCGGGCUUUUGCCCGGUGCACUCUUCUAUGGGCAGGCCAGCAUCAGUCCCAGCGGUUGGAUAAAUGCCUGUUGAAUGUACCUCUCUUCGGGGAGGACUUAUAGCUUCGGGCGGCAUACAACCAGCCGGGAUUGAGGUCCGCGCGUCUGCUAGGAUGCUGGCGUAAUGGCUGUAAGCGGCCCGUCUUGAAACACGGACCAAGGAGUCUAACAUCUAUGCGAGUGUUUGGGUGUCAAGCCCGAGCGCGUAAUGAAAGUGAACGGAGGUGGGAACCCCUCGGGGCGCACCAUCGACCGAUCCUGAUGUUCUCGGAUGGAUUUGA